AGAUUGAACGCUGGCGGCAGGCCUAACACAUGCAAGUCGAGCGGUAGAGAGGUGCUUGCACCUCUUGAGAGCGGCGGACGGGUGAGUAAUGCCUAGGAAUCUGCCUAGUGGUGGGGGAUAACGUUCGGAAACGGACGCUAAUACCGCAUACGUCCUACGGGAGAAAGCGGGGGACCUUCGGGCCUCGCGCCAUUAGAUGAGCCUAGGUCGGAUUAGCUAGUUGGUGAGGUAAUGGCUCACCAAGGCGACGAUCCGUAACUGGUCUGAGAGGAUGAUCAGUCACACUGGAACUGAGACACGGUCCAGACUCCGUACGGGGGCAGCGAGUGGGAAUAGUUGGACAAGUGGGACGAAAGCCUGAU
rnacentral:rRNA from 1 species